CCUACGGGGGGCAGCAGUGGGGAAUAUUGGACAAUGGGGGGAACCCUGAUCCAGCCAUGCCGCGUGUGUGAAGAAGGCCCUCGGGUUGUAAAGCACUUUCAGUGAGGAAGAACGCCUGGUGGUUAAUACCCAUCAGGAAAGACAUCACUCACAGAAGAAGCACCGGCUAACUCCGUGCCAACAGCCGCGGUAAUACGGAGGGUGCGAGCGUUAAUCGGAAUUACUGGGCGUAAAGCGCGCGUAGGUGGCUUGAUAAGCCGGUUGUGAAAGCCCCGGGCUCAACCUGGGAACGGCAUCCGGAACUGUCAAGCUAGAGUGCAGGAGAGGAAGGUAGAAUUCCCGGUGUAGCGGUGAAAUGCGUAGAGAUCGGGAGGAAUACCAGUGGCGAAGGCGGCCUUCUGGACUGACACUGACACUGAGGUGCGAAAGCGUGGGUAGCAAACAGGAUUAGAUACCCGUGUAGUC
rnacentral:rRNA from 1 species